rnacentral:rRNA from 1 species
UACGUAGGGGGCUAGCGUUGUCCGGAAUUACUGGGCGUAAAGCGCACGUAGGCGGAUAUUUAAGUCAGGGGUGAAAUCCCAGAGCUCAACUCUGGAACUGCCUUUGAUACUGGGUAUCUUGAGUAUGGAAGAGGUAAGUGGAAUUGCGAGUGUAGAGGUGAAAUUCGUAGAUAUUCGCAGGAACACCAGUGGCGAAGGCGGCUCACUGGACCACAACUGACGCUGAGGUGCGAAAGCGUGGGGAGCAAACAGG